GUCAUAUUUAAACAAAUAAAUUAUUUUAACUUACUAAUAUUUCUAUUGUACACAUUAAUCAAUUUAAAUUUUUUAAAGAAAUAUGGUACAAAUAAAAUAAAACAUCUAAACACAUAAUAUAUACACACGAAUAUACCUACCUAUUUGCCAUUUUAUAAAAUUGUGUCAUAACGUGUGUAAGACUUUUAGGUUCAUAAAAUAAAUUUAAAAUUGUGUUCAUUUUGGAAACAAUUUUAUUAUGUUAUUUUAUUACGCAUGCAUAUUUUAUUUUUACUUUAAGCUACAUGGGUAAACAUUUGCAGGUUACUCUUUUUACUCAAUUAUUAAAAACACAAGAUGGAAAAUCAAAAAAAAAAAAAGAAUAACUUGCUGAUGCAAAAAUAAAGGUCUUUUGCAGUUUUUCUAUUGGAGUAAUAUUUCUGGUAGAAACAUAACACAUACAAAUUUGAAAUAAUGAAAAUUUAUAAAUUUACGAAUUUUCAUUUUCAUCCACUUUUAGAUUUGGAGCAUGAUGAGUAAUGUAUUAGUGGUUUUACAUUGUUUAUUUUUUUUUUCUUAUCUGCAAACAACUUUUCUACUAGAAAUAUUUCUCCGAUUUUCAUGUAUAGUACUUUUUUUGAAAGGAAGUUGUAUCUGAGUGCUACUUUAGGGAAGUCAGUUUCUAAGCGAUUUUAAUAAUAAUUGAGAAAAACUGAGAAAAUUUACAUACAGAUAUAAAUUCAAUUUCUCUCUAUAUCCUACCUUCCCAACUUCUCACCUACAACAGUAACCUACCUAUUGUGUGAAGUAUGUCAGUUUUUUUUUUUAAUUUUAUAUAAUUGCACAUAUAGGAUAAAUUAAAAACAAAUGUCACUAAUUAAACUAUGGUUUCCAUUUUACAAAGUGGAUAACAUUUUUAUCCAUAACAUAAACCUAAAAAUUGUACACAUUAUAGUCAAAGUUUGUAAAAUAGAUACCCAGUUUAUAUUAAGUUUACACUACAUAUGUAGAUGCAACAUAUUAUAACUUGAAUGGUAAUUAUUUUAAUAUUGAACAUUUAUUAUUUCUAAAAGUACCUAUUAAAUUUGUAAACAAUUUGUUUUCAUCAUUAAAUAUUGAUUUCAUUUUUUUAAAUUUAAAUUUAAUGAUUUUUCAAGUAAUAAAUGUUAAAUAUUAAAUAAUUA